ensembl:lncRNA
GAAUGUGCUUUUCUUUAUUUUAAAGGAUGAGGAUUAUGGAUUCUGCAAGGUGACUUCCCUGGAACGCCCUUUUCCAAAAAAUACCUCUUUCAAUAUGCCAAGAAAUCCUUUUGCUCUUUUAUGGAACUUUGUCCAAAGUUUACUGAGGUCUGUCCAUGAAUUUCCCAUUGAUUUCCCUUACCAGAUUUCUGAAAGAAACACUGCAGAGAUGCUCCUUCCCCCUUACCACUGUCCAUGAACUUUGCAAACGCCUCCAUGAAGUAAGGUUCUCAAUCUCACGUGAAAGCAAUUCUUUGAGUUCAUGAUUCCUCAUGAAGACAGAACUUUGGGUGCCAAAGUUACCUGUCCAUGGCUGGAGCUCCCAGAGGCACACAAGUAUCCCACAGCCAGUUUUAGGAGGUGCCUGCAGUGCUACACCCCUAGAAGCAGCCCUGGACAGCCAUUGCGGCUGCUCCCUGGAGGAUGCAGCUCUCUGGGAGCAAGUGCUUGUAGAAGCAAACCAUCAUCUCCCUCCUCCCUAUCACCUCCCUCCUUCCCAUCACCUCCCCUGGGCCAGAGUAACGCCAAACUGAGCUGGCUCUGCUCCCUGAGGCUCUGCACGGGACUAUGUGAUAACCUUACUGGUUGGUUCCUACCGGUGCUCCCACUUGUGCAUGUCAUUUAUCCAUUUGGAAAGGAAACGCUGUAGAGGAACCAGAUUAAAGGAGGAAACCACUUAGUGGAAAGGCAGAGAACAGUUUCACAGUACCAAGUGGGCUGCGUAGGACUCGUAAAUACCAAUAACCACCAGUGGGGACACUCUCCUGCUGUCGCCGAGUUGCAUUUAAAUAGAGUUCAAAUCUCGAGGUUUUCUUUAGAAGAGGAGAAGCACAGUGUGCUUAGCCUGGUCUGUAGCUCGCUCUAGGUGUCUCAGGUUCCACAUACUUUGCUGUUCAGCACUUCUGUCUGACGAUGCUUUGGUAGCACUUUCAAACCCGUCCCCAGUUCUUCCUCUUAGAAGCUUUUGGUCUGGUUUUCUUACGCCGCACAGUGAAAUACUGACUGGUGCAAUGACUUGCUUUGAGGGUCUGUCUUGGAUUUGUUUUUUGCCCUGAGAAGUUGCUUGAUUCUGUAGACGUUGUCAUUCACCUGGGUGUUGAUCUCCAUGAGAUCUUUCAGCAGAAGAUGCAGUCGCUACUGUCAGCUGGGUUUUCAUUUUUGGUUCUGUUUGGGUUUUCUUACUUGAAACUGUGACUUUCCUUGUUGAACUAGAUUGAUCUGUAGAACUAUUCUAAUGGGUUUACAGGCAGGCAGGACAGUGUGAAGCUUCAGGGAGAGAGAUGCAGUGCGUGGGGCUUGUCCUUCCCUCAGCAGUGGGGCUGGGAGCUGAGGUCUGGCACUGGGUUUGCCAGCGGCUCCUGCAUGAUCUAGAAUGUUUUCAGCAGGAUCCUCACAAUGGGUUGCACAAACCCGCUGCAGCACCCUUAACAGCCCCUGGGCCCUACCGCUCAUGACCUGGCUGGGCUGUGGCGUGGUUUCUGUCUGUGCUCCCUGCAGCCACGUGUGCGUGGUGUGCACCUUUCAGCCCUGAGCUGUGCCAGGUUGUCUCAUGGUGGUGCUGGGGCUGACCGGUGGUUGUGUUAAACUUCAGAGGUGUUUGCACUUCCAGCAGUGGGUGAAGGUGUUCCUGUAUAUAUACUGCAAAACGUUUUGUGCUUAUAAGUGACACACACACAUAUAUACAUAUAUAAAAGGGAUUUUAUAUAUAUAUAAUAUAUAUAUAAAAAAAAGAAAGGAUCCUUAACUGACACUAACAGUAUUGGCCAGUGCAUUUUCCUUUCUGAUCCCCACCGUUAUACACAUAACUUCUAUAGGACUCAAAAGUGACUUUGCACAGGGAGCAGAAGGGGCUCAGGAAUGUGGUUGGGGGGCACCAGGGAAGCCCCCAGAUGUGUUGGGGGGUCUCUCCUGUUGUGGGGAGCUGCUCCCCUCCUUGCCAGGGUUUCAGUCCCCCCUGCUCCUGCUGCAGCCUGGCUGUGCUUGGCCUGGGCCAGUUCAUGAGCCUGGUGAGAGGCAGAGGCAGGUUGGGUCUGGGUCCAUACCCACGGUGCUGGUGCUGCAGGCAGGGGGAACCUGGAUCCCCAUCACCAGCAUCUCCUGUGUGAGGCCGGGGACUGGUCUGAGUUGCUGCUCUGGCUGGGCUUUAUUCAGGAAAGCUCUUGGCACGUACUUGCACCCUCUUGAUACCCCACAGAGCCAAGCACAGGAUUACACUUAAGCACAACAUGAAAGUGCUUUUUUUGUGAGCAAAAGAGGGGAUCUGAAGCACAAACUCAGUUUCUUUCCAGAGCUUUGAGGGUCUUCAGGAGUGGCAGGGGAAGGGGCCGGGAUACGCGCUGGCAUGGAUGGGCUUGUUGACCGGGGCUGAGGUGUCUGGGCUGUCUCUGGUUUGGCUGCAGGAGGUGCUGAGCAUCGAUAACUGCUUUAAACCACCGUCAGGUCAGAGCUCAGCACCUCGCGGGUCGCACCUCGUGCUCAUGUUGCUUUGCUGCUCACUGGAGCUGGCCGGGUCCGUCAUUCCCUGUCCCAGAGCAUGCUUGCAUUAUGUUUUAACGAAUGUAGCACUGCGUAUAUCCUGCAAAGGGAAAUGCUGGAUUUAAAUCGUUAGAAUGUGAAGAGAGUUUAUAGAGUGAAAAUAUAUCUUGAAGAAAUGUAUCUGACAGAGUUUAUUUUUUAUGUAGAGAGGCGGUGCUUUGUAGUUCCUGGUGGCCUAUGUCUGUUGUAAAUAAUGUACAUUUAAUUUAUUGCUAUGGUAGCAGACUGUAUUUGUUAUGUAUAAAACUAAAGGUUCACAAAUGUAUAUUUUGUUGCUUAAAUGUGUCUUUGCAAAAUUCACAAUAAAUAACAUAUUUUGUGU